rfam:Strongylocentrotus purpuratus Contig67834_fixed, whole genome shotgun sequence.
CCAACGGCUCUUUUUAGAGCCACCAAAUAUUCAAGAAAGAAUCAUUU